GAAAGCCGUAUUCGAUGAAAGUCGUAUGUACGGCUUGGAGGGAGAUCUUUCAUAUCUGCUCUUCGCAGGCAGUUUGAGCGCCUUCAGCAGGGCUCUAUGACAGUCACACAGUAUGAGACCCGGUUCAUUGAUCUAGCUCGC
rnacentral:ncRNA from 1 species